rnacentral:rRNA from 1 species
UACGGAGGGUGCAAGCGUUAUCCGGAUUCACUGGGUUUAAAGGGUGCGUAGGCGGCAGGUAAGUCCGUGGUGAAAUCUCCGAGCUUAACUCGGAAACUGCCAUGGAUACUAUUUGUCUUGAAUGUUGUGGAGGUGAGCGGAAUAUGUCAUGUAGCGGUGAAAUGCUUAGAUAUGACAUAGAACACCAAUUGCGAAGGCAGCUCACUACACAAAUAUUGACGCUGAGGCACGAAAAGCGUGGGGAUCAAACAGG